rnacentral:rRNA from 1 species
AAAAUUAGAGUGUUCAAAGCAGGCAGAUCCAAUUUUCUGCCACCGAAUACAUUAGCAUGGGAUAAUGGAAUAGGACCCUGUCCUCCUAUUUUCAGUUGGUUUUGGCAGCGCGAGGACUAGGGUAAUGAUUAAUAGGGAUAGUUGGGGGCAUUAAUAUUUAAUUGUCAGAGGUGAAAUUCUUGGAUUUAUGAAAGAUUAACUUCUGCGAAAGCAUCUGCCAAGGAUGUUUUCAUUAAUCAAGAACGAAAGUUAGGGGAUCGAAGACGAUCAGAUACCGUCGUAGUCUUAACCAUAAACGAUGCCGACCAGCGAUUAGGAGACGUUGAAUACAAAACACCACCAUCGGUUGCGCGGUCGUUCUUGGCGUCUCGGUUUCGGCCGGCGCGCGGGGAUGGCUUAGCCCGGUGGCACCGGUGAA